CUCAGGACGAACGCUGGCGGCGUGCCUAAUACAUGCAAGUCGAACGAACUCUGGUAUUGAUUGGUGCUUGCAUCAUGAUUUACAUUUGAGUGAGUGGCGAACUGGUGAGUAACACGUGGGAAACCUGCCCAGAAGCGGGGGAUAACACCUGGAAACAGAUGCUAAUACCGCAUAACAACUUGGACCGCAUGGUCCGAGCUUGAAAGAUGGCUUYGGCUAUCACUUUUGGAUGGUCCCGCGGCGUAUUAGCUAGAUGGUGGGGUAACGGCUCACCAUGGCAAUGAUACGUAGCCGACCUGAGAGGGUAAUCGGCCACAUUGGGACUGAGACACGGCCCAAACUCCUACGGGAGGCAGCAGUAGGGAAUCUUCCACAAUGGACGAAAGUCUGAUGGAGCAACGCCGCGUGAGUGAAGAAGGGUUUCGGCUCGUAAAACUCUGUUGUUAAAGAAGAACAUAUCUGAGAGUAACUGUUCAGGUAUUGACGGUAUUUAACCAGAAAGCCACGGCUAACUACGUGCCAGCAGCCGCGGUAAUACGUAGGUGGCAAGCGUUGUCCGGAUUUAUUGGGCGUAAAGCGAGCGCAGGCGGUUUUUUAAGUCUGAUGUGAAAGCCUUCGGCUCAACCGAAGAAGUGCAUCGGAAACUGGGAAACUUGAGUGCAGAAGAGGACAGUGGAACUCCAUGUGUAGCGGUGAAAUGCGUAGAUAUAUGGAAGAACACCAGUGGCGAAGGCGGCUGUCUGGUCUGUAACUGACGCUGAGGCUCGAAAGUAUGGGUAGCAAACAGGAUUAGAUACCCUGGUAGUCCAUACCGUAAACGAUGAAUGCUAAGUGUUGGAGGGUUUCCGCCCUUCAGUGCUGCAGCUAACGCAUUAAGCAUUCCGCCUGGGGAGUACGGCCGCAAGGCUGAAACUCAAAGGAAUUGACGGGGGCCCGCACAAGCGGUGGAGCAUGUGGUUUAAUUCGAAGCUACGCGAAGAACCUUACCAGGUCUUGACAUACUAUGCAAAUCUAAGAGAUUAGACGUUCCCUUCGGGGACAUGGAUACAGGUGGUGCAUGGUU
rnacentral:rRNA from 1 species